AUUGAACGCUGGCGGCAGGCCUAACACAUGCAAGUAGAGCGGAGCGGCGGACGGGUGAGUAAUGCCAAUGAAUAGGACUGGUAGUGGGGGAUAACGUCCAGAAACGGGCGCGAAUACCGCUUACUAUCAGCUGAGCCUAGGGCGGAUUAGCUAGUUGGUGGGGUAAAGGCAUACCACGGCGCCGAUCCAUAACUGUGCUGAGAGGAUGAUCAUGCACACUGGAACUGAGACACGGUCCAGACGCCUACGGGAGGCAGCAGUGGGGAAUAUUGGACAAUGGGCGAAAGCCUGAUCCAGCCAUGCCGCGUGUGUGAAGAAGGUCUUCGGAUUGUAAAGCACUUUAAGUUGGGAGGCGUUACCAACAGAAUAAGCACCGGCUAACUUCGUGCCAGCAGCCGCGGUAAUAC
rnacentral:rRNA from 1 species